rnacentral:rRNA from 1 species
ACGACUCGCGAACCAGUUUAAACCACCGGCGUCGGGACGGGGGGACGCGCUCCGCUUGCGGGCGGCUCCCCUUCCCACGCCUCCCCGCGGGGAGAGGGACCCGUCCCCCUCCCGGCGGGGGAACAACGAACCCCCGGCGCGGACCGCGCCAAGGAAAUCUAACGAGAGAGCGCGCUCCCGCGGCCCCGGAGACGGUGCGCCGCGGGGUGCGUCGCCUUCUUUCACUUACAUCCAAAACGACUCUCGGCAACGGAUAUCUCGGCUCUCGCAUCGAUGAAGAACGUAGCGAAAUGCGAUACUUGGUGUGAAUUGCAGAAUCCCGUGAACCAUCGAGUCUUUGAACGCAAGUUGCGCCCCAAGCCGUUAGGCCGAGGGCACGUCUGCCUGGGUGUCACGCAUCGUUGCCCCACCCCACCCCCAACGCGGGGGCCCGGCGGUGCGGGCGGAGAUUGGCCUCCCGUGCGCUCCCCGCUCGCGGUUGGCCCAAAUCCGAGUCCCCGGCGACCGAAGCCGCGACGAUCGGUGGUGAAACAAAAGCCUAUCGAGCUCCCGUCGCGCGCGCUCGGUCUCCGAGAGGGGACUCCGCGACCCUGACGCACCGCUCUCGAGCGGCGCUCGCACGGCGACCC